GGGAAACAUAAAUCCCACACAUUGCUGAGCCUGGAUGAGGCACAAGCUGCAAUUAAGGAAGAAUUGGAGCGAGAAAUCGAGAAGCUUCAGGGAGCCCAGCAGAACUGUUCAAACAAACAGCAAGAGUUGGAGAGAUCGGAAUUAGAAGUAAAGACACAAAUCCAUGAGCUGAAAG